rnacentral:lncRNA from 1 species
GAAAAGAAAAACAGAAAAAAAAAAGAAAAAAGAAAAAGAAAAGAAAAAGGAAAGAAUGUGUGAUGUGGCAAUUGGCGUUGAUCCAGCAGAAAAAAUUGGACUCUGGCACUGUCCUCAAUUCCCCCACGACCCCAACAAACUUCACGCACACUUUUGAUGCAGUCAUUCACUGGACAGAGGAACUUAACAGAAUCACCUACCUGAAAACCCAUUUUUUCCUAAAGGACACACACGACACUCCCUUUUGGGCUCACCAUUCUACCUCUACCAUGUUUACCAUGAUGA